GCAUGGCUGAAUUCUGUUUUACUCUGUCUGUAGUAAAUUCAGUCAGACACCAUGCAAGAUUACCCUACUCUCACUCUUUCUGUUUUAGUGGUAUCUUAAUUUAUGUUACCACUGACAUGAGGGAGAGUAUACAAAC
ensembl:snoRNA